GAUUGACAUCGGAUCAGGCAGGA
rnacentral:rRNA from 1 species